rnacentral:rRNA from 1 species
AACGAACGCUGGCGGCAUGCCUAACACAUGCAAGUCGAACGAGACCUUCGGGUCUAGUGGCGCACGGGUGCGUAACGCGUGGGAACCUGCCCUUAGGUUCGGAAUAACUCCCCGAAAGGGGUGCUAAUACCGGCUAAUGUCUUCGGACCAAAGAUUUAUCGCCUUUGGAUGGGCCCGCGUUGGCUUAGCUAGUUGGUAGGGUAAAAGCCUACCAAGGCGACGAUGCAUAGCUGGUUAGAGAGGAUGAUAAGCCACACUGGCAUUGAGACACGGCCCAGAAUCCUACGCGAUGCAGCAGUGGCUAAUAUUGGAAAAUGGGCGAAAGCCUGAACCAGCAAUGACGCUUGAGUGAUGAAGGCCUUAGGGUUGUAAAGCACUUUUACCCGGGAUUAUAAUGACAGUACCGGGAGAAUAAGCACCGGCUAACUCCGUG